AGCAGCCGCGGUAAUUCCAGCUCCAAUAGCGUAUAUUAAAGUUGUUGCAGUUAAAAAGCUCGUAGUUGAAUUUCGGGAUCAAUAUGCCGGUCAUGCCUUGGUAUGCACUGGUAUCUUUGAUUUCUCCCUUCUGACGAACUUUGAUGUCAUUAAUUUGGUGUCAUAGGGAAUCAGGACUGUUACUUUGAAAAAUUGAGUGUUUAAAGCAAGCUCACGCUUGAAUACAUUAGCAUGGAAUAAUGAAAUAGGACGUUUGAUUCUAUUUUGUUGGUUUCUAGGAUCGACGUAAUGAUUAAUAGGGAUAGUUGGGGGCAUUAGUAUUCAAUUGUCAGAGGUGAAAUUCUUGGAUUUAUUGAAGACUAACUACUGCGAAAGCAUUUGCCAAGGAUGUUUUCAUUAAUCAAGAACGAAAGUUAGGGGAUCGAAGACGAUCAGAUACCGUCGUAGUCUUAACCAUAAACCUAUGCCGACUAGGGAUCGGAUGAUGUUAAUUUUUAAUGACU
rnacentral:rRNA from 1 species